UGGGGAAUCUUGGACAAUGGGCGAAAGCCUGAUCCAGCCAUGCCGCGUGAGUGACGAAGGUCUUCGGAUUGUAAAGCUCUUUUGGCGGGGACGAUAAUGACGGUACCCGCAGAAUAAGCCCCGGCUAACUUCGUGCCAGCAGCCGCGGUAAUACGUAGGGACCAAGCGUUGUUCGGAUUUACUGGGCGUAAAGGGCGCGUAGGCGGCAAUUCAAGUCAUCUGUGAAAUCUCCGGGCUUAACUCGGAACGGUCAGAUGAUACUGCUUUGCUAGAGUGCAGAAGGGGCAAUCGGAAUUCUUGGUGUAGCGGUGAAAUGCGUAGAUAUCAAGAGGAACACCUGAGGUGAAGACGGGUUGCUGGGCUGACACUGACGCUGAGGCGCGAAAGCCAGGGGAGCAAACGGGAUUAGAUACCCAAGUAGUCCCUGAGCGGGCUGGCAAGGCGCAU
rnacentral:rRNA from 1 species